rnacentral:lncRNA from 1 species
AUUCAAUUUUCAGAGUGUGCAAGUCAGUGCAAAACAAAGGCUCUGUAAGCCUCUGCCGACUCCUCCUUGAGGAGACCCAGGCUGCUGGCUGGCUCGCUCCAUCAUUCAUGCAUUUAUGCAGCACCAGGGGUGUCUGUUUUGUGCCAGGCAUCGUGAAUUCCAAGAUGAAAAGGGCCCCGUCGCUGGUGGCUUCCAAGGAAUGCUUGGGCUGGCAGAGGAGAGGGGACCUGAACUCUGAAGGCUGCAGGUGGACGCAGAGCCUGCUGAAGGUGGAACCUCGGGCCACCCCCAAGCACAGCCCACAGCUGU